AGUGAACGCUGGCGGUAGGCCUAACACAUGCAAGUCGAACGGCAGCACAGUAAGAGCUUGCUCUUACGGGUGGCGAGUGGCGGACGGGUGAGGAAUACAUCGGAAUCUACUUUUUCGUGGGGGAUAACGUAGGGAAACUUACGCUAAUACCGCAUACGACCUACGGGUGAAAGCAGGGGAUCUUCGGACCUUGCGCGAUUGAAUGAGCCGAUGUCGGAUUAGCUAGUUGGCGGGGUAAAGGCCCACCAAGGCGACGAUCCGUAGCUGGUCUGAGAGGAUGAUCAGCCACACUGGAACUGAGACACGGUCCAGACUCCUACGGGAGGCAGCAGUGGGGAGUAUUGGACAAUGGGCGCAAGCCUGAUCCAGCCAUACCGCGUGGGUGAAGAAGGCCUUCGGGUUGUAAAGCCCUUUUGUUGGGAAAGAAAAGCAGCAGGUUAAUACCCCGCUGUUCUGACGUUACCCAAAGAAUAAGCACCGGCUAACUUCGUG
rnacentral:rRNA from 1 species